GAUGAACGCUGGCGGCGUGCCUAAUACAUGCCAGUCGAGCGAACAGACGAGGAGCUUGCUCCUCUGACGUUAGCGGCGGACGGGUGAGUAACACGUGGAUAACCUACCUAUAAGACUGGGAUAACUUCGGGAAACCGGAGCUAAUACCGGAUAAUAUAUUGAACCGCAUGGUUCAAUAGUGAAAGACGGUUUUGCUGUCACUUAUAGAUGGAUCCGCGCCGCAUUAGCUCGUUGGUAAGGUAACGGCUUACCAAGGCGACGAUGCGUAGCCGACCUGAGAGGGUGAUCGGCCACACUGGAACUGAGACACGGUCCAGACUCCUACGGGAGGCAGCAGUAGGGAAUCUUCCGCAAUGGGCGAAAGCCUGACGGAGCAACGCCGCGUGAGUGAUGAAGGUCUUCGGAUCGUAAAACUCUGUUAUUAGGGAAGAACAAAUGUGUAAGUAACUAUGCACGUCUUGACGGUACCUAAUCAGAAAGCCACGGCUAACUACGUG
rnacentral:rRNA from 1 species